rnacentral:rRNA from 1 species
UGGGCAAUAUUGGACAAUGGGCGCAAGCCUGAUCCAGCCAUGCCGCGUGAGUGACGAAGGUCUUCGGAUUGUAAAGCUCUUUUUGGCGGGGACGAUAAUGACGGUACCCGCAGAAUAAGCCCCGGCUAACUUCGUGCCAGCAGCCGCGGUAAUACGAAGGGGGCUAGCGUUGUUCGGAAUUACUGGGCGUAAAGCGCACGUAGGCGGAUUUGUAAGUCAGGGGUGAAAUCCCGGGGCUCAACCUCGGAACUGCCUCUGAUACUGCGGAUCUCGAGUCCGGAAGGGGUGAGUGGAAUUCCUAGUGUAGAGGUGAAAUUCGUAGAUAUUAGGAAGAACACCAGUGGCGAAGGCGGCUCACUGGUCCGGUACUGACGCUGAGGUGCGAAAGCGUGGGGAGCAAACAGGAUUAGAUACCCACGUAGUCCCUGAGCGGGCUGGCAAGGCGCAU